CAGUCGUACCGGCGGAUAAUCAGCCUUUCGGGUGCGAUUCUGUGGGGCGUGAGGAGCUUAACCGCCUUCAUGUUUUGCAUAUUCGUGCACAUUUGGUGUACUUGUCCGUGUGGUGGGUUAACAUCAAUUUCGGUCGUCAUAAAAUGAUUGGAGGAAUGUAGCUUUGAUCUCGUAUCGAAGUGUUAUAGACUCUGGUAGAUGUGGUGAUCGAGAUUGAGGAUUGCAACGGAUACCCUUCGGGGCUACCUGUCUGGUCUCUGAUCGUUGCUCUGGUGCCGAAAGCUUGCUUACGGUUAUCAAAGUCGAUGGUCAA
rnacentral:rRNA from 1 species